AAAAAAAAAAAAGACAAAAACCUGUGCAUCCUGUCUUCUUUGUAACCUUCCUCGUUGUACUAUAUUCCAGGGAACUAAAACUCUGGUCAGACAGACACAUGUUCAAAUCCAGACACACACCUUUACUUACUGGGUGAUUCUGAGCAAGUACUCUCCUUACUCCAGCCUCAGUUGAAUAAUCUCUAAAAUAGGGUAGUAAUUAUAACCAAACCUACUUCAUAGGAUGGUUGUGUGGAUUAAAUGAGAUAGGGCACAUGAAGAGAUCAAUAUAUCAGCUAUUAUAACUGGAACCACAGGUAUGGCAGCAAAUGGAUUAUUUCACAGUCUUCAGUCUGCCCAAAGCAAUGUUUGAAGCAUAAGACCCACUGUGCCACUGUGAUAGGAAAAUUCCUGCACCAUUUGAUGUCUGAAUCUCAUUUCAAGGCAUUUUUUCCCCUGAAUUCUAUGAAUUUUUUUUCCUGAGUCUGAAUUCCGAAUUCUAGACUCCCAAGAGAAACCGCCAAGGCAGGGGAUAUUUUACUUCCUAUUUCUUACCCAUAACCCCCCAAAAUAUACAAGAUAAUCUUUAGCCAUAUAUAGUUCCCUGCAAACAUACCUUGGAAGCAUUUUAAUCUACAUUGGCUUUUUGAGCUUUAUAGCACCAAACCUGAAUUUACACAGAGCCUCAUAUGUAAAAGCUGUCAGACAAUCUCAAGCGGUGGGUUGCUGAUGAUUUCCUUCUAUCCUUCUCUGGUGAUGUUCUUCUGUUAAUACUUAUUUUAGAACUGUCAAUAGGUAUGCCAAGACACCCUGGGGAGGAAGCCUCUGUGGUUACACUUUUGGUAUCAUGAAUGAAUUAUUUAUAUAUGUCAUUGCUGUUCAUAAAAAAGUAAAAGCAUUGGCUCAGAACAUUCUUACAAGUGUAGUUUUAACAUGCAUAGUACAGGCCCUCCUUAUAUACACCUCAAUGCUUUACAGCCUCUGAUGACUCAAAAUUAAGGAACAUAUUUUGAGCAGCUGAAAUGCCUUGGAGAGGAGUGAGAGUUCUGUGUUAUAUAAAUCUGUGCGUAUAUUGAGAUAUGCUUUGGAAAACUUUUCACUAACUCUUUAGUGAAAUAAAAGUAUAAAAACAUGUUAUACCUCAAUAUACUUCUUUACUAAUUAGACCUCUUGGAAGUCCUUAGGUGCUUUUUCCAAAGGCUACCUGUGUGCCAGUGUGACCACUCUGAAUAUGUUCAAAUACUCAACAGGCCCAGAAUAUGUUUCUAAUAGAAGUACUUCCACAGACGAAAGAGCUUAGCUGAAAUCUCAUGCAGUUCUUCCAAGGGUUUAUGUCUCAGUUUCAAAUGCGCAACUAACAAGCCAAAUCAAGCAUAGUCAAAAAGAAGAGGUAACCGAAGAGAAAGUUAAUGGCCCUUCUGGUCAUUACUUGACUACAAAUUUAGUUCCCAAUAGACUACUAGGUUCUGGAACAUCUGUCACACUUAGCAAGAAAGUAAAAUUUCUAAGGUGUCUGUCGUCACAUAAAGUUGAGGAACUGAACUAAAGAAAGGCAUGGAAAUUGCUGCUCAAUGUAGAGUUUUCUCCAAGAAGCAUCAGAAAGAAAUCACAAUUCCAAGGUAGCAAUUUCUAUUGGGACAGAAGAGUCAUGGAACCUGAAUUUCAUGCCUAAGGUAAGAUGUCACCCUGGUAUGGCCAGCAACCUCUCUGGACUUCCAUUUUCCAGCUGAAAACUGAGAAUAUUGGACAUCCCACAGUUUGAAAGAAUUUUGCCUACCAAAGAAAAUGACUUUACUAAAUAACAUUAAUGACUUUUUUCAUUACUGAGCAUGUUAUUAUGUGCUAGAUACCUUCUAAGUCUUUCACAUAGUUUUCUCAUUUAGUCCUCAAAACAAUCUGAGAAUAGGAUUUAUUAGAAUUCACUUUUACAAAUGAAGAAACUGAGGCUUCAGGAAGCAAUAUAGUAAGAGGCAUAGCCAUAAUGCAAACUCACUUAUCUAAAGUGAAAGUCAGUUCCCCUUAACCACUCUGUGAAUCAUCGCUAGUAUCUAAUGAUUUUCAAUAUUUUAAAACAAGGACAUAUGUAAUAACCAACUUUGGCACACAGUGUUGAUAAAAUUCUAGGUAAAAACAAAAUAAAGUUUUGGUCAAUCUACAAAGUAGAUUGUUAUUUUGUAAUAUAAGAUUUACUUGGCUAUAUUCUGAAAUAUUAAAAAUAGAUGGCCCCCCCUUUACUCCUAGCUGCUCCUUUAUUAUUGCCUUUCCAAAUCCUUAACACGUUAAAGAGUCCAAUUGGAGAGCAGAUUAUUUAAGGUGGAUGUUAAGAGUUUUUCCAACUCUUAAAAAAAAGAACAAAAAACACAUUAUACUUCAAUACAAAAUGUUUUAAAUGUUGCUGCUUAUUAAAUCUGGAUAUUGAUAUAGCUUUAUCUAUUACUGAUAAGAAGGUACAUAGGAGUUCUCAAAUUUCAGUGUGUCCCCAAAUUUCCUUGGGAUUUUCAGUUUCCCUUUUAAAAGAUUUGGAUGCUUAAUUUAGGAAUCUAUGUUUUUAGGACCUAGAAACCUACAUUCUUAACCCACCGACAGAGGGCCUACACUAAUCUGGCCUCCACAUAUUUCUUGAGUUUACCUCUUGUCUCUCUCCUCAAGUUUACUCAACUUUGACAUCUUUGGCUUCUUUCAUUGCCCCAACAGGCCUGACUUAAUCUGUUCCUAGGGCCUGGGCACUCACUGCUCUGACCUCUGUACAAGGCUGGCUCCUUAUCACACAGGACUUACUACAAUGUCAUCUCUUUCCAGGGGCCUUCUCUGACCCCUCCUCCAGUUCCCUUACUCCAGACCUCUUUGCACUAUCUCCCUCAGGUUUGGUCCUGUAAUUCAUAGGGCUGGGGAAAGAGUUCAAAUGGAGGACCCUUGCUUCUCUACUCAAUACUGGUUCUGCCUCUUUCCAACUGAUAGACCCUCAAGCAUGUGCAAAUGGACAAUUCACCCAACCCGCAUGUAUCUAAGACCUCAAUUUAAAACAACAACUGCUCCUUGGAUAUCCCUCAAAUCUAGGGGGUUCCUACAUACCUACACUGUCCCACAGGGUGAGAAAAAGGCCCUGGUUUGUUUUCUAAGUGGCUAGGGAUCAAUAUUUGGACAUGGAAUUUUGGGGCUCUGUGUCCCUGGAGCAUUAGCUCUUGGUGACACAUUCUCUUGGCCCACAGAGUCCUUAAUCUGGGAAAGAGGUGUGAGCAGAGGAUGGUAAGAGCAAGGUCUUCUGAAGCACAGAGGAAGGAAGAAAGUUAGGGAGGCUAUGAUAUGAUGACCAAUCUAAUCUGUCACUUCUAUAAUCAGAAACAUCUGACUUCUUUACUUAUAUGUUUUCAAGCCAUACUUCAUAAAACAUAAAUUUCAUUAAAGCAGAUCUUGUCUAUCUUGUCGGCUGCUGCAUCCUUAACAUGUACGGCAAUGCCUGGCACAGACAAUUUGCUAAGUUAAAAUCUGUUGAAUGGAUGGAUGAAUGAAUGAAUGAAUCAGAACAUCUUAUGCAAAGCUUGAAAUGUGCUGGGAGCCCUUCUUGGUGCUUUGCAUAUGAGAUCCCCUUCACUUCUUACAACCAUCCUACAAGGAAGGUAGGAAGUUUUCCACUUUACAAUGGUGCAGAAAGGUUAAGCAAUUGGCCAAUGCUUAAAGAAGAGGCUAAAAGGCAUCUUCUUUUUUAUGAUGAAACACUGAAUGAGCGAGCAUAUGAAUAUAUAAAUAACUAUACAAGGGAGUAAAUGAAUGAAUGAAUGAAUGGUCAAGGCAGUAUAGUGGAAUGAAAAAUAAAAUCUCUCCUUUAUUUAGGUUUAAGAAAAUAAGGCAAAAUGUACAAUUCAAAUGCAGUCCAAAAGUGUGUCAUGUGGAAAUGUUAAUGUGGAAGAACUCACAAACAAACAGCUUUUUUUUUUAUCAGCAGAAUAAACUUUUUAGAAAAUUUCCGAGGAAGUUUGGAAAUUGACUGCAUGGCAAGAUAGCAGAAGAAUGUGCAGCAUUUUGCUAUCACAUACAGUGAGGUACAAAUAAGGGCCAUUCAGAUGGGCUCCAAACAAGCAUCUCUCCAGCUGUGAAAAGAAGGCGCUGCUUUGGGAGACUAUGCAGGCUUUGGAAAUUAAGUAGAAGAAAAAUCUGAACACAUGGGAGAAGAUCCCUAGCAGCCAUCUCCUCUGGCUUCCCCGGUCCACACAAUACCUAGAAUCAAGCUCCAGGAGAUCAGUAUGCUGACUGGUGACUUUUAAAUAAAAAUAAAAUCAAACACCUGUGCAUCAGGCAACAUGAACUGCUGGAGUUUCCACACGGAUCCUGCUACAGGUCCAGCUUGCUCAUAAAGAUGGGUUCAUUUCUCAAGUGAAAUAUAGAGGAGACUUAUUAGAGUAGCAGCGACAUGAUAAGUGAAUAUUCUGCCAGCUUUUUUUUCCUCCUUUUAUAUAAGUUGAAUGCUGUCUCUAGUCUCUUCAAGUAGAAUUCUGAUUUAAAAGAAAGAAGAAAAGAGGAGAGAAGAAGAUGGGAAGAAAAAAAAAGAAGGAUUGUUAUCUCUGGCUGGAAACAAGAAAUCUCUAGACAUGCACUUCCUAGAGCCCACUAAUGUCUUUACCUCUGACUUGACUAAUUUUCAUUGGAAUUUUAGUUUGGUUGCUUCCCUGUGAUCUCAUUAGGACAUCAUGAUUUAUGUGCCUCCAUUACAAGAGCACCAGUUGUUAGUCUUAUUCUCACCCAGCCUCACCUCACCUCCCAAAAAACAGUUAAAAAAUUUUUAAAUAACUUCAUGUAAAGUUUAUAUACACACACACACACACACACACACACACACAUACAUACAAUACACAUACACAUUAUGUAUAUAUAUAUAUAUAUGUAUGUAUUUGGUUGCUUUUUAUUUGUAAUUAUUGUUUUUAUUUUUCUAUGUCGUAACUCCAUGCAGCCAUUUGAGAUAAUUAAGAUAAUUCAGUGGCAAACUAUGUGAAGGUGGUCAAUGUUCAAUACUCUUGUUUGCAGUCUGUUAGCAUUCUAAUCUCCAGAAUUAUUUUAUUACUACUACUAUGACUACCACUGCAAUCAUCAUCCUUAUAGUUAUUAUUAAUCACAAUGAUUAUUAAUGAUGAUGAUAACAAUCCUUACUUCUUUUUUGAUUUCAUCUUCCUCUCCUUGCACAUUUAUUUUCGUGGUUGCCUGUUUCUUCUGCACUAGUUUUUGUUCUUCAGAGUGUUUGCUUAACUGCCAUUCCAUUUUAAUAGCGAGUUUUCUCUUAUUACAUUAUGUGAUGGAGCACUGAUAUACGGUUUUUUCAUGAAAUAGGCAAUGAACAAAUACCAUAUGACCCCCAACCUCAACUCUCCAUCUCCUUCCAACUCACUUCAGUUUCAUUCUCCAGAAAAGUAGAAACCUUGAAGUGUUUCAUAUGUUUCAUUCAAAUUAUUUUAUAUACACACACACACAAAUAUUUUUACGCAGAGGGGCAUAUAUUAUGCAUCAUAUUCUGAAAAUAUCUUGUUUCAUCGAACUCUACAAUGUAUGUCUUUCCAUGUCAUGAGUACUUCAUUCUUUUUACCAAUUUUUCCUUUCUGAUGUAAGGUAGCAUCAACUUAUAGUCAACAAUUUUAAAAUCAGAUUUUUGUUCUUGGAUUUUGAAACUACAAAUGAACACAUACUCAUUUUAGAAGUAAAAAUUAUAUAGAAAUAUAUUGACUGCCCCCUCCUCCAAUUUUAUCCCUUUGUAAUACCCAUGUUAUUCGUAGGUUAAUGGGUUAGCAAGGAAUGAGAAUGCCCAUUUUUAUAAAGACUUAUCAUCACUGACGGUUAUCAAUCUUUGAUUUUUCUAACUGGAUGAGUGAAAAGAUGUUCUCAUUUUUCCCUAAAGUCAUCUUUAAUUAGUCAUUUACAUUUCCUAUUCCAUAAUUUUUCUUUUGAUUACUUUUGUCUACUUAAUGUUGAAUUGCUUUUUUUCAAUUUAUAUGUGCAUGUUUUACAUGAGCAAUAUUAUUCCUUUUUUGCAUUUAGAUGGUUACUCACUGUCCAUUGUUUGUCUUUUAAGUUAUGUUGGGUAUCUUUGUCAUGCUGAAAUUCUUAAUUUUCUGUAUAUACAGAGAAAAUAUCUGAAAUUUUAAUUUAAAUGUUAUAUAAAGUAACAUUUUAAUGUCAUAUAAAAUUCAGGCACCAAUUUUAUGUUUCCUUAACUUCAUCUCAAUGUAUUCUUUAUUUGCUCCUUUUCAGAUUCUUGGGAAGUGAAGCUCCUCCUAUUUGCAAAGAAAAACUCCUUCCCUUGAAAUUCAGACACACAACAUCCCUACCUUGCAUCCUUUUGAACCUAUAGUUGCUUGACAUAAAGUUUUUUUUUAAUGUCCAUGUUGUAGAAAUAUUUUUGUGAUUCUAUACUUAAAUUCUACUUACAUUCAUUGUAACCAGAAACAACUCUAAUUAUACAUUUUGGAAAGUAUUGAGAUUGUGAGCUAUUCUAAGAACAUUUACAUGACUGUUCUAUGGAAACUUUUAAAGCAAAUAUGCUCUCCUUUUACAUCAUACAGAAUUAUGUACAUAUCUAUCUAUAUAUACAUAACUAUCUUUAUUUAUAUCAGACACCUAUAGAAUCUAUUUCUGUCAUUGUUACAUGUGUCUUUCUUUACUUCUCCUGUUGUAGACUUAGGUAAGUGAAUAACAUUGUCUACUUAUUUCUCCUAUUGUUUUGCUUUAUAAAUGUUGACUGCAUGCUACUUGGUACAUAGACCUUUAUAAAUGUAAAAUAUUUAUUGUGAAUUUUACCUCUUCAUAUUUUUUAUGAAUGCCGACUUCUUCAAACAUAAGUUUACCUACUUUUGUAGGGGGUGUGUGUGUGUGUGUCUGUGUGUGUUGGUAUUGAACAUUAUUUCUGUUUAGCCAUUUGACUAAAACCAAAACAAAUGAGAUAUUAUGGUUAUAGUAAGUGUGUAUGUGUGUGUGUAUGUGUGUGCAUGUGCAUGCAUGUGUGACCAUCUCCUGAUCAUUCAACUUUGCACUUUAAUUGUACUAUAUUGUUAUUUGACUUAACAAAACUUUAGUAAAAAUAAUAUGACAUUUAACUUGCCUCAUCUUUUUUAUUUCUAAAGAAUUCUAAAUAUUUAACACUGUAUUAAAAUAUUCAUGCAAAUGUAAUUUGUAACAUAAUGUCAAUUAAUAAAUUAAUAGCAAUCAUGAGCUUAUAAAAAGGUAAAUUUGUCACUGGUGGUUCAUAAGUCAUUAUAUUCAUGUCUUAUGGACUCACCCAAGGGCGGGGUUGACUUUCUU
rnacentral:lncRNA from 10 species